rnacentral:rRNA from 1 species
AGCGAACGCUGGCGGCAGGCCUAACACAUGCAAGUCGAACGAACUCUUCGGAGUUAGUGGCGGGCGGGUGAGUAACACGUGGGAACGUGCCUUUUGGUUCGGAAUAACUCAGGGAAACUUGUGCUAAUACCGAAUGUGCCCUUCGGGGGAAAGAUUUAUCGCCAUUAGAGCGGCCCGCGUCUGAUUAGCUAGUUGGUGAGGUAACGGCUCACCAAGGCGACGAUCAGUAGCUGGUCUGAGAGGAUGACCAGCCACACUGGGACUGAGACACGGCCCAGACUCCUACGGGAGGCAGCAGUGGGGAAUCUUGCGCAAUGGGCGAAACCCUGACGCAGCCAUGCCGCGUGAAUGAUGAAGGUCUUAGGAUUGUAAAAUUCUUUCACCGGGGACGAUAAUGACGGUACCCGGAGAAGAAGCCCCGGCUAACUUCGUG